UACGUAGGAGGCAAGCGUUGUCCGGAGUUACUGGGCGUAAAGGGCCCGCAGGCGGUGGAGUAAGUUUGGAGUGACAGUUCCCAGCUUAACCGGGAAAGGACUUCGAAAACUGCUCGACUUUGAGGACUGGAGAGGAAGGCGGAAAUUCCGGGUGGAGCGGUGAAAUGCGUAGAGAUACCGGAGGAACACCGACGGCGAAGGCAGCCUUCUGGAAAGUACCUGACGCUGAGGGGCGAAAGCUAGGGGAGCGAACGGG
rnacentral:rRNA from 1 species